AUAAUGAUACUCCCCUAUCGUCAUGGUUCGAGCGUUCAAAGCGUCGCAAGCUAUGAGUAGGGCUGGAAGAAAUACUUGCAGGGGUGAAAUUCCCGUGG
rfam:Virgibacillus soli strain PL205 scaffold000035, whole genome shotgun sequence.